rnacentral:rRNA from 1 species
CAGUAGCCACGGUAAUACGGAGGGGGCUAGCGUUGUUCGGAAUUACUGGGCGUAAAGCGCACGUAGGCUGCUUUGUAAGUUAGAGGUGAAAGCCUGGUGCUCAACACCAGAACUGCCUUUAAGACUGCAGAGCUAGAACGUCGGAGAGGUGAGUGGAAUUCCGAGUGUAGAGGUGAAAUUCGUAGAUAUUCGGAAGAACACCAGUGGCGAAGGCGGCUCACUGGACGACUGUUGACGCUGAGGUGCGAAAGCGUGGGGAGCAAACAGGAUUAGAUACCCCCGUAGUCCCUGUCUCUUAUAC